AACGAACGCUGGCGGCAUGCCUAACACAUGCAAGUCGAACGAGACCUUCGGGUCUAGUGGCGCACGGGUGCGUAACGCGUGGGAACCUGCCCUUAGGUUCGGAAUAACUCCCCGAAAGGGGUGCUAAUGCCGGAUAAUGUCUUCGGACCAAAGAUUUAUCGCCUUUGGAUGGGCCCGCGUUGGAUUAGCUAGUUGGUAGGGUAAAAGCCUACCAAGGCGACGAUCCAUAGCUGGUCUGAGAGGAUGAUCGGCCACACUGGGACUGAGACACGGCCCAGACUCCUACGGGAGGCAGCAGUGGGGAAUAUUGGACAAUGGGCGAAAGCCUGAUCCAGCAAUGCCGCGUGAGUGAUGAAGGCCUUAGGGUUGUAAAGCUCUUUUACCCGGGAUGAUAAUGACAGUACCGGGAGAAUAAGCUCCGGCUAACUCCGUG
rnacentral:rRNA from 1 species